rnacentral:rRNA from 1 species
UACGUAGGGUCCGAGCGUUGUCCGGAUUUAUUGGGCGUAAAGAGCUCGUAGGCGGUUCCGUAAGUCAGAUGUGAAAACUCAGGGCUCAACCCGGAGACGCCAUCUGAUACUGCGGUGACUGGAGUCUGGUAGGGGAUCACGGAAUACCUGGUGUAGCGGUGAAAUGCGCAGAUAUCAGGUGGAACACCGAUGGCGAAGGCAGUGAUCUGGGCCAGUACUGACGCUGAGGAGCGAAAGCGUGGGGAGCAAACAGGAUAGAAACCCUUG